rnacentral:rRNA from 1 species
GGGGAAUAUUGGACAAUGGGCGCAAGCCUGAUCCAGCCAUACCGCGUGGGUGAAGAAGGCCUUCGGGUUGUAAAGCCCUUUUGUUGGGAAAGAAAAGCAUUCGGUUAAUACCCGAUUGUUCUGACGGUACCCAAAGAAUAAGCACCGGCUAACUUCGUGCCAGCAGCCGCGGUAAUACGAAGGGUGCAAGCGUUACUCGGAAUUACUGGGCGUAAAGCGUGCGUAGGUGGUUGUUUAAGUCUGUCGUGAAAGCCCUGGGCUCAACCUGGGAAUUGCGAUGGAAACUGGGCGACUAGAGUGUGGCAGAGGGUAGUGGAAUUCCUGGUGUAGCAGUGAAAUGCGUAGAGAUCAGGAGGAACAUCCGUGGCGAAGGCGACUGCCUGGGCCAACACUGACACUGAGGCACGAAAGCGUGGGGAGCAAAC